rnacentral:rRNA from 1 species
CAGCAGCCGCGGGAAUACGAAGGGGGCUAGCGUUGUUCGGAUUUACUGGGCGUAAAGCGCACGUAGGCGGACACUUAAGUCAGGGGUGAAAUCCCAGAGCUCAACUCUGGAACUGCCUUUGAUACUGGGCAUCUUGAGUCCGGAAGAGGUAAGUGGAACUGCGAGUGUAGAGGUGAAAUUCGUAGAUAUUCGCAAGAACACCAGUGGCGAAGGCGGCUUACUGGUCCGGUACUGACGCUGAGGUGCGAAAGCGUGGGGAGCAAACAGGAUUAGAUACCCCUGUAGUCCCUGUCUCUUAUAC